rnacentral:rRNA from 1 species
UUCCAGACUCCUACGGGAGGCAGCAGUGGGGAAUAUUGCACAAUGGGGGAAACCCUGAUGCAGCGACGCCGCGUGAGUGAAGAAGUACUUCGUUAUGUAAAGCUCUAUCAGCAGGGAAGAAAAUGACGGUACCUGAGUAAGAAGCCCCGGCUAACUACGUGCCAGCAGCCGCGGUAAUACGUAGGGGGCAAGCGUUAUCCGGAUUUACUGGGUGUAAAGGGAGCGUAGACGGCAGUGCAAGUCUGGAGUGAAAGGCGGGGGCUCAACCGCGGAACUGCUUUGGAAACUGUAUAGCUUGAGUACUGGAGAGGCAGGCGGAAUUCCUAGUGUAGCGGUGAAAUGCGUAGAUAUUAGGAGGAACACCAGUGGCGAAGGCGGCCUGCUGGACAGAAACUGACGUUGAGGCUCGAAAGCGUGGGGAGCAAACAGGAUUAGAUACCCGGGUA